rnacentral:rRNA from 1 species
AUUGAACGCUGGCGGCAUGCUUUACACAUGCAAGUCGAACGGCAGGCACGGGGGCAACCCUGGUGGCGAGUGGCGAACGGGUGAGUAAUACAUCGGAACGUGUCCUAUUGUGGGGGAUAACCAGUCGAAAGAUUGGCUAAUACCGCAUGAGCUGGAGACAGGAAAGCGGGGGACCCGCAAGGGCCUCGCGCGAUUGGAGCGGCCGAUGUCCGAUUAGGCUUAGUAGGAGGGUAAAGGCCUACCUAGGCGACGAUCGGUAGCUGGUCUGAGAGGAUGGAUCAGCCACACUGGGACUGAGACACGGCCCAGACUCCGUAC